UCUGCCAUACUUCUGCACUGCCUCGCUAUACUGUAAGCAACGUGUUUGACAAACGUCCUUGGAACAUAUUUUAUCUCGGCUGGACUCCUCUGCCCUCUAAGGGAUACAGCGAGGUAGAAGGCUCAGCCCCUGCUUUCUAGGUUUUGUGCACUUAAACCAGCCGACUAAAAAGGCAAAGCAAAGUACUCCAGUGAGUAAUGCCGAAAUAGCAAUCAGCUGGAGUUGCUGAAUGCAUUAGGAAGGAGAAUUUGAGCUGGGUAUGAUUUGGAAGAUCAAUGGAAAUACAAUUGAAGUUGGGGACAGCCAACGCAAAGAAUCACAGGAUCCUUCUUGCAGUUCUCCAUGACAUCACAGUCAGCUGGAAAUUAUAUCCUUGGUGUUUUAAAUACAAGAGAAAUGGAAAUAAAUAUGAGAGAAAAAUCCCUUAUAAGCAUGACAAAGUUAAUAGAAAGCAAAAGUUACAACAACAAGGUAUUUUCCAAAGAAAAGUCAAGAGGCUAAGGAGAAGGGGAAGAAGUCAUGCAUUAUCGCUGUGCAGCAAAAUAUAAUGUGAUCUCUGUACAGGGCAUAGAGAAACUAAUAGAGGCUACUCACGGAAAACGAGAUUGAAUAUGACAUUGUGUUCAUAAGGAAGAAUUGUUUGAUAUUCUUCAUGAUAUGCAUCUCAGUAUUGGACAUGGUGGGUGGACAUGCAUGCUCAAGGAGCUGCAAGAAAAAUAUGGGAAUGUCACCAAAGAAGCCAUUGUCUUACAUGUGACUCUCUGUAAACAGUGCCAUCAGAAGAACCCUGUACCCUAGAGAGGCCUUGAACUCAAGCCCAUGACUUUCAAGGACAUUGAAAUACUUGGCAUGCAGUCAAAUUCAAGUUUAUUUUAUACUACCAGGACCACUUAACCAAGUUUAUUAUUUGAUGGUCAUUAAAAGCCAAAUAGGUCCAUAAGGUG